AAAAACUCCGGUGGUGUAAGAUGGACCCGCGUCUGAUUAGCUGGUUGGUGAGGUAACGGCUCACCAAGGCGACGAUCAGUAGCCGGCCUGAGAGGGUGAACAGCCACAUUGGGACUGAGACACGGCCCAAACUCCUACGGGAGGCAGCAGUGGGGAAUAUUGCACAAUGGGGGAAACCCUGAUGCAGCAACGCCGCGUGAGUGAAGAAGUCAUUCGUGAUGUAAAGCUCUAUCAGCAGGGAAGAAAAUGACGGUACCUGACUAAGAAGCCCCGGCUAACUACGUGCCAGCAGCCGCGGUAAUACGUAGGGGGCAAGCGUUAUCCGGAUUUACUGGGUGUAAAGGGAGCGUAGACGGCGACGCAAGUCUGAAGUGAAAUGCCAGUGCUCAACACUGGAACUGCUUUGGAAACUGUGUGGCUAGAGUGCAGGAGAGGUAAGUGGAAUUCCUAGUGUAGCGGUGAAAUGCGUAGAUAUUAGGAGGAACACCAGUGGCGAAGGCGGCUUACUGGACUGUAACUGACGUUGAGGCUCGAAGGCGUGGGGAGCAAACAGGAUUAGAUACCCUGGUAGUCCACGCGGUAAACGAUGAUUACUAGGUGUCGGGGGGCUAUAGCCCUUCG
rnacentral:rRNA from 1 species